CCUACGGGGGGCUGCAGUCGGGAAUUUUGGGCAAUGGGGGCAACCCUGACCCAGCAACGCCGCGUGAGCGAUGAAGGCCUUCGGGUCGUAAAGCUCUGUCGGGAGGGAAGAAGGCUCUCGGGGUGAAUAAUCCCGGGGGAUUGACGGUACCUCCAAAGGAAGCGCCGGCUAACUCCGUGCCAGCAGCCGCGGUAAUACGGAGGGCUCAAGCGUUGUUAGGAAUCAGUGGGCGUAAAGCUCAUUUAGGCGGGAAAGCCCGGGGCCUAACCCCGGAACUGCACUCGAAACUGCCUCGCGAGAGUCUCGGAGGGGGUGGUGGAAUUCCCGGUGUAGUGGUGAAAUACGUAGAUAUCGGGAGGAACACCAGCGGCGAAGGCGGCCACCUGGACGAUGACUGACGCUGAGACGCGAAAGCGUGGGGAGCAAACAGGAUUAGAUACCCCGGUAGUC
rnacentral:rRNA from 1 species